rnacentral:rRNA from 1 species
AUUGAACGCUGGCGGCAGGCCUAACACAUGCAAGUCGAACGAGUGGCGGACGGGUGAGUAAUGUCUGGGAAACUGCCCGAUGGAGGGGGAUAACUACUGGAAACGGUAGCUAAUACCGCAUACCAUCGGAUGUGCCCAGAUGGGAUUAGCUAGUCGUGGGGGUAACGGCUCACCUAGGCUACGAUCCCUAGCUGGUCUGAGAGGAUGACCAGCCAGACUGGAACUGAGACACGGGCCAGAAUCCUACGGCAGGCAGCAGUGGGGAAUAUUGCACAAUGUGCGCAAGCCUGAUGCAGCCAUGCCGCGUGUAUGAAGAAGUCCUUCGGGUGGUAAAGGACUUUCAGCGAGGAGGCGUUACUAGCAGAAGAAGCACCGGCUAACUCCGUGCCAGCCGCCGCGGUAAGUC